rnacentral:rRNA from 1 species
UACGGAGGGUGCAAGCGUUAUCCGGAUUCACUGGGCUUAAAGGGUGCGUAGGUGGUCUGGUACGUCAGUGGUGAAAUCUCCAGGCUUAACUUGGAAACUGCCAUUGAUACUAUCAGUCUUGAAUACCGUGGAGGUCAGCGGAAUAUGUCAUGUAGCGGUGAAAUGCUUAGAUAUGACAUAGAACACCAAUGGCGAAGGCAGCUGGCUAGACGAAUAUUGACACUGAUGCGCGAAAGCGUGGGGAGCAAACAGG